rnacentral:rRNA from 1 species
GAUCAACGCUGGCGGCGUGCCUAAUACGUGCAAGUCGAGCGAACGGACGAGAAGCUUGCUUCUCUGAUGUUAGCGGCGGACGGGUGAGUAACACGUGGAUAACCUACCUAUAAGACUGGGAUAACUUCGGGAAACCGUAGCUAAUACCGGAUAAUAUUUUGAACCGCAUGGUUCAAAAGUGAAAGACGGUCUUGCUGUCACUUAUAGAUGGAUCCGCGCUGCAUUAGCUAGUUGGUAAGGUAACGGCUUACCAAGGCAACGAUGCAUAGCCGACCUGAGAGGGUGAUCGGCCACACUGGAACUGAGACACGGUCCAGACUCCUACGGGAGGCAGCAGUAGGGAAUCUUCCGCAAUGGGCGAAAGCCUGACGGAGCAACGCCGCGUGAGUGAUGAAGGUCUUCGGAUCGUAAAACUCUGUUAUUAGGGAAGAACAUAUGUGUAAGUAACUGUGCACAUCUUGACGGUACCUAAUCAGAAAGCCACGGCUAACUACGUG